GACUAGAGAAGAAAAGACUCUGAGGUGACCUGAUAGCAGCUUUUCAGCAUCUAAAGGGAAGCUACAGGAAAGAAGGGACAGAGUCUUUUGCAGGAUGAAAGCAGUGCAUGAUCUUGAUUUUUCUUCCACGCACGUGAUGUUGUAUGCUCUCAGUUCUUCUGUGGAAACAGAUCCUCAGGCUUCUGGAGAUCCUGGUGUUUCGGCUCAUGUCAUUGUUGCUACAUUUCCCAUGGGGUCCAGCUCUGAAUUAUGGGUGCAAGAAAAUCUACUCCUCUGGAUGCCACUUCACUGAAUCCUUUCUUAUGGGGAAAGGAAAGGAGUCACUGUUUUUCUGAGCUUUGCUAUCAGUGACAGCCACUAAACACAGUAGCAUUAUUUUUUUUUCAACAUUGUUAGUGAAAAUACGCAUUUUCUGUUUUCUAGUAUGAACGAACUUCAUACUAUUCUAACUUCUCUGAUUCUCUGAAGCUCUGGGAAAAGCAUAUAUAAACAUAUUAUGUUUUAUGUUUAAAAAAAAAAAAAAAAAGACUCAAACACAGAAGGGGGCUUAUUAACUGUCCCUUACUUUCUUGGUUUGAUAAAAGAAGGAUGAAUAAACAGAUGGGGUGAAAUUCCCAAUUUCUCCAUUUUUCUAAUGGAGAAGUACUUUUUCCUUAAUAUCUUCAUGUUACUGUAGCAAUAUAAUCUUAAAAUAAUGUAUGUAUUGUGAAAUUUAAGGAAAAAAACACUUUUCCUGUUUUUUGCUUAUUACUAAUGAGAUCUUCAGAUUAAAAUAUUACUAACUUACUCUGAAAUCUAAAUUUCAGUUACCUCUCUCUUAAACAAAAAAAAAAUAUCUUAGUGGAAGUCUUGUACCAAUACAAAAUUCUAUGUUUCCUUAUAAACUGCACUCUGAAAUACAGUCUGUUAGAAAAAUAAGUAAUAGACUGGUAUUGGUAUUCACUGUAAGAAUCUAGCAGUUUCUUUAGAUUUCUUUUUUUUUCACUUGGCUGAUGGAAUAAAUUCACUUCUAAAUUUGAUGGAAUUAAUUCACUUUUGAGAAACUUUUUCUUUAUAAUAAAUGGUAGUAAUAUUUCCUCAUCAUAUUAAGCAUUUUUAGUGAUUUCUAAAGUUAAAUAUUACAUGUGUGGGCUUUAGGUCCCACUCAAAUUGCAUUAAAUAUGCAGUACACCUUGUGGUAUUUGGCAGCUUAAAUGACCAGUGAUGUUCUAACUAGGCUAUGAGAACAGAAAGCUGGAGGUGUAACUCACCCCAAACUUUGUCAAGACUUUGUAUAUUACACCAGUGAAAAUUUCCUUCAAAAAUAGUAAUGAAAUUCCAACUGAAAUUUUUGUUUUUAACAUAAUGAACAGCUUAAAGAACUAAUAAUUAUUCUCUUCAGGAAAAAAUACUUUUAUUGCUAUUGAGAGGAAAAAAUCAAAAUAAUGUAUAAUUAUAUAUUACUAUAUAUAUAUGUAUAUAUUUUUCCUCCAGAAAAUAUGCAUUUUGAAUUACAUAGGGUUCCAAGGAAAUUGUAAUUCAUUUGUCUGUCUAUACUUGUUUUCUCUUGGGCUAGCUUCUCAAACUGGAUGAUGUUUCCUGUAAUGUAUCAUUCUGAUGAUUCACCAUAAUCUUCUUUCUUGGAGAAAAUAUGAGUGCACCCUUUGGGAAACAGAAUGAACUCAUAGAAUGUGGUCUGAAGAGACAUGUGAGAGCAAAGCUAAUCGAACUGCAAUCCUCAUAAGACAGAGCAGGAUUAUUAUUAUUUUUUAAAUUGCAAUAAUUUGUAUGUAAUAUUCAGAAAGAAAAAACAAAACAACAGGGCUUUCUGAGGAAAAGAAAUAGGCAAUAACAUAAUUUAUUUUUAAUAAUAAAUUGUCUGCUGACAGUUGGUUUUUUGUGGUUUUUUUUUUUUUU